UACGUAGGGUGCGAGCGUUAAUCGGAAUUACUGGGCGUAAAGCGUGCGCAGGCGGUUGGGCAAGACAGAUGUGAAAUCCCCGGGCUUAACCUGGGAACUGCAUUUGUGACUGCCCGGCUAGAGUGUGUCAGAGGGGGGUAGAAUUCCACGUGUAGCAGUGAAAUGCGUAGAUAUGUGGAGGAAUACCGAUGGCGAAGGCAGCCCCCUGGGAUAACACUGACGCUCAUGCACGAAAGCGUGGGGAGCAAACAGG
rnacentral:rRNA from 1 species